AUUGAACGCUGGCGGCAGGCCUAACACAUGCAAGUCGAACGAGUGGCGGACGGGUGAGUAAUGUCUGGGAAACUGCCUGAUGGAGGGGGCUAACUACUGGAAACGGUGGCUAAUACAGCAUACCAUCAGAUGUGCCCAGAUGGGAUUAGCUAGUUGGUGGGGUAACGGCUCACCAAGGCGACGAGCCCUAGCUGGUCUGAGAGGAUGACCAGCCACACUGGAACUGGGACACGGUCCGGACUCCUACGGAGGGCAGCAGUGGGGAAGAUUGCACAAUUGGCGCAAGCCUGAUGCAGCCAUGCCGCGUGUUUGAGGAAGGCUUUCGGGUUGUAAAGCACUUUCAGCGAGGAGGCGUUACUCGCAGAAGAAGCACCGGCUAACUCCGUGCCAGCAGCGGCGGUAAUUC
rnacentral:rRNA from 1 species